AUUGAACGCUGGCGGCAGGCCUAACACAUGCAAGUCGAGCGGGGUUUUCGGACCUAGCGGCGGACGGGUGAGUAAUGCGUAGGAAGCUGCCCGAUAGAGGGGGAUACCAGUUGGAAACGACUGUUAAUACCGCGUAAUGUCUACGGACCAAAGUGUGGGACCUUCGGGCCACAUGCUAUCGGAUGCGCCUACGUGGGAUUAGCUAGUUGGUGAGGUAAUGGCUCACCAAGGCGACGAUCUCUAGCUGGUUUGAGAGGAUGAUCAGCCACACUGGGACUGAGACACGGUCCAGACUCCUACGGGAGGCAGCAGUUGGGAAUAUUGGACAAUGGGCGCAAGCCUGGUCCAGCCAUGCCGCGUGUGUGAAGAAGGCCUUCGGGUUGUAAAGCACUUUCAGCGAGGAGGAAGGGUGGUGUGUUAAUAGCACAUCAUUUUGACGUUACUCGCAGAAGAAGCACCGGCUAACUCUGUGCCAGCCGCCGCCGUAAGAC
rnacentral:rRNA from 1 species